rnacentral:rRNA from 1 species
UACGUAGGGCGCAAGCGUUGUCCGGAAUUAUUGGGCGUAAAGAGCUCGUAGGCGGCUUGUCACGUCGGAUGUGAAAGCCCGGGGCUCAACCCUGAAACUGCAUUCGAUACUGCCUUGCUCGAGGACUGGAGAGGAGAUUGGAAUUCACGGUGUAGCAGUGAAAUGCGUAGAUAUCGUGAGGAGACCAGUGGCGAAGGCGGAUCUCUGGACAGUUCCUGACACUGAGGCACGAAGGCCAGGGAGCAAACGGG